UCAAGCUAAAAAGGGCGCAAGGUGAAUGCCUUGGCACUGGGAGCCGAUGAAAGACGUGGUAAGCUGCGAAAAGCUUCGGGGAGGAGCAAACAUCCAUUGAUCCGGAGAUAUCUGAAUGGGGCAACCCAAUGGAGUUCAUACUCCAUUAUCCAAUACUGAAUCCAUAGGUAUUGGAAGGGAACCGCCUGAACUGAAACAUCUAAGUAGGGCGAGGAAGAGACAUCAAACGAGAUUCCGUAAGUAGUGGCGAGCGAACGCGGAAGAGGGCAAACCGAGAGGAGAAAUCCUUUCGGGGUACGGACUGCUUUUAGGACUGAAAGAGUUAACAGAAUGGCAUGGGAAGGCCAACCGAAGAGUGUGAGAGUCACGUAGGUAAAAGUUCUGACAGCUGCGCAGGAUCCAGAGUACGGCCAGACACGUGAAACCUGGUCGGAACAUGGGGGGACCACCCUCCAACCCUAAAUACUACCCAGUGACCGAUAGCGUAUAGUACUGUGAAGGAAAGGUGAAAAGGACCCCGGGAGGGGAGUGAAAGAGAACCUGAAACCUUGUGCCUACAAGCACAUAGAGCCCGUCAAAGGGUGAUAUGGUACUUUUUGUAGAACGGUCCGGCGAGCGAUUGUACGUUGCGAGCUUAAGGUCUUAAGGACUGGAGGCGUAGCGAGAGCGAGUCUAAACAGGGCGUUUAGUAGCGUGCAAUGGGCCCGAAACCGGGUGACCUACCCAUGAUCAGGCUGAAGUGAAAGUAAAAUUUCAUGGAGGGCCGAACCGACCUCCGUUGAAAAGGCGGCGGAUGAAUUGUGGGUAGCGGAGAAAUUCCAAUCGAACUCGGAGAUAGCUGGUUCUCCCCGAAAUAGCUUUAGGGCUAGCCUCAUGUUAGAUAUCCGGAGGUAAAGCACUGAAUGGCCUAGCGUCCGAGAGGAUAGCGAAGCCUAUCAAACUAAGAAUGCCGGAAUAUUGAUGCAUGGGAGUCAGACAGUGUGAGAUAAAUCUCAUUGUCAAAAGGGAAACAGCCCAGAUCUACAGCUAAGGUCCCAAAUUGUAUCUAAGUGGAAAACGAUGUGGAAAUACGCAGACAACCAGGAUGUUGGCUCAGAAGCAGCCACUCAUUUAAAGAGUGCGUAAUAGCUCACUGGUCGAGCGUCUCUGCGCGGAAAAUUUAACGGGGCUAAGAUACAAACCGAAGCUUAGGCUGCACUUUUAGUGCGGGGUAGGGGAGCGUUGUGUAAGCGGAGAAACAGUAGCGAAAGCGGCUGUGGAGUUUACAGAAGUGAGAAUGCCGGAAUGAGUAGCGCGAAUGAUGUGAGAAUCAUCAUGGCCGGAAACCUCAGGUUUUUGGAGGAAGGUUCGUCCGCUCCAAGUUAGGCGGGAGCUAAGGUGAGGCCGAAAGGCGUAGCCGAUGCACAGACGGUAGAGAUUCCGUCCCCACCGAAAGAUUUAAGCGCAGGGACACUUUUAGAAGGUCGGAGCCAGGUGUUGGUUCUGGUAGAGAUCGAGGGAAGAUUAGUACCGAAGUCCGGCUGGAUAAGAGGCGAGAAAAGCUGCGUGUAUAUCUAAGGUGCCCGUACCGCAAACCGACACAGGUAGGUAGGAAGAAGAUUCUAAGGCCAACGGGAGAAGGGUUGUUAAGGAACUCGGCAAGUUGACCCCGUAACUUCGGAAUAAGGGGUGCUCAUGAAAGUGAGCCGCAGAGAAUAGGCCCAGGCAACUGUUUACCAAAAACACAGGUUUGUGCUAAAUCGAAAGAUGACGUAUACGAGCUGACGCCUGCCCGGUGCUGGAAGGUUAAAAGGAGAUGUGCAAGCAUUGAAUUGAAGCCCCAGUGAACGGCGGCCGUAACUAUAACGGUCCUAAGGUAGCGAAAUUCCUUGUCAGGUAAGUUCUGACCCGCAUGAAAGGCGUAAUGAU
rnacentral:rRNA from 1 species